GACGAACGCUGGCGGCGUGCCUAAUACAUGCAAGUUGAGCGCUGAAGGUUGGUACUUGUACCGACUGGAUGAGCAGCGAACGGGUGAGUAACGCGUGGGGAAUCUGCCUUUGAGCGGGGGACAACAUUUGGAAACGAAUGCUGAUACCGCAUAAAAACUUUAAACACAAGUUUUAAGUUUGAAAGAUGCAAUUGCAUCACUCAAAGAUGAUCCCGCGUUGUAUUAGCUAGUUGGUGAGGUAAAGGCUCACCAAGGCGAUGAUACAUAGCCGACCUGAGAGGGUGAUCGGCCACAUUGGGACUGAGACACGGCCCAAAACCCUACGGGAGGCAGCAGGAGGGAAUCUUCGGCAAGGGACGAAAGUCUGACCGAGCAACGCCGGGGGAGUGAAGAAGGUUUUCGGAUCGUAAAACUCUGUUGGUAGAGAAGAACGUUGGUGAGAGUGGAAAGCUCAUCAAGUGACGGUAACUACCCAGAAAGGGACGGCUAGCUACGUG
rnacentral:rRNA from 1 species